GGAGCAGGCCAAACUGUUGUUGGGUUCCUUUGGCUACUCCUCUUCUUGCAGAGCAGGUGCCAGCACAGCCAGGAGAGGGAAGGAGAGCCUUGUGUCUGUGGCAUGCUCUGAGUCCUCUUGGAGACAACAGGGUACAGCCCUUGCCCCCUCCUCUACAUCCACAGCUAUAAGAAGAGAACCUGGAAUCACUUCCACGCUGGAGUCUGUAAGCAGUGAUGCGGAUGCGGCGAAGGCAGCAAAUCCUCCGGCUGUGCGUGCCCUCCCUGGACUGCUGCUCCAUCCCCGCCUGUCGUGCUCGCGCGUGUGCAUGGCUGGGAGCGCUGCCUAGGUGCGGCCGGGAAUGAGCCAGCUGUGGGGCAAGGACCGCUACAGCUCCAAGGGGUGACACAAGUGGGGGAUACCCCCCCACACAAACACAUCUGCAGGGCUGCAAGUUGCUUGAGGACCGGGGUCUUUUGUGCCUGCACUUCGUCUCUGUCAUGCCCCGUAUGGAAGCUGGGAGCAGUCACCCCUCCAGAAGCAGAAGGCGAAGUCGUUCGCAAUGAAUCCAUGGCAGCUUCGAUCGAGCGGUGAGCUGGAGCACCUACUCACAGGCCACUCCUUCAUGUGACUGAACAGAGACCUUUCCCAGCAGUCGCCAAGGAGAGCAGAGCCCUGGAUUUACCUCCCGCGCACCCGGGCACCCCCGGCGCAGGCACUGCGAGCAGCCAAUGAACCUCCAGGGCCAAAGGAUAAAUGCACCAUCGCUGGAGUAUUACAGCAUUUAGAAACCUCACUCACUGACUCACAGCUGUCUGACCCCUCCACCACAACCACUUUCAAUUUUUCUCGGCACCCAGCCACCUUCUCUACUGAGGUGUAGCUGGAUAAUCCUUGUGCUUUUACAGUGCCUGCCUGUGUGCAGCUCUGAGGCAGAACGGUGCUUCUGGAGGACAUCUAGCACAACUAACUCAUCAUGACAACCAGCAGCAACUUCAGGCUGCUUUCAGAGAGCUGUUUGUGGAAUCACCUCAGCCCUUUAGCACAAGAUGUACACUUGCAGCAAGGCCUGCCACUACAGAAGAGAGAGGCUUCUGCUUCCUGCGAGUCCUGUGUCCCUGGCAAAUGCUAGCCCAUGACUAACGU